UACGGGGGGGGCAAGCGUUGUUCGGAAUUACUGGGCGUAAAGGGCGCGUAGGCGGCCUUCUAAGUCGGACGUGAAAUCCCUCGGCUUAACCGAGGAGCUGCGUCCGAUACUGAAAGGCUUGAAUCCGGGAGAGGGAUGUGGAAUUCCAGGUGUAGCGGUGAAAUGCGUAGAUAUCUGGAGGAACACCGGUGGCGAAGGCGGCAUCCUGGACCGGCAUUGACGCUGAGGCGCGAAAGCUAGGGGAGCAAACGGG
rnacentral:rRNA from 1 species